rnacentral:tRNA from 1 species
CGCCCGUUAGUGGAACUGGUUAUCACGUCGCCCUCUCAAGGCGAAGAAUAGGGGUCCGAGCCCCCUACGGGUGACCA